rnacentral:rRNA from 1 species
UACGAAGGUGGCAAGCGUUACUCGGAAUUACUAGGCGUAAAGGGCAGGUAGGUGGCUUGGUAAGUCUGUUGUGAAAGCUCCUUGCUUAACGGGGAGAGGUCAACAGAUACUGCCAGGCUUGAGUCUAGGAGAGGGUACUGGAAUUCCCGGUGUAGCGGUGAAAUGCGCAGAGAUCGGGAGGAACACCAAUGGCGAAAGCAGGUACCUGGACUAGUACUGACACUCAGCUGCGAAAGCUAGGGGAGCAAACAGG